GACGAACGCUGGCGGCGUGCCUAAUACGUGCAAGUUGAGCGCUGAAGGUUGGUACUUGUACCGACUGGAUGAGCAGCGAACGGGUGAGUAACGCGUGGGGAAUCUGCCUUUGAGCGGGGGACAACAUUUGGAAACGAAUGCUAAUACCGCAUAAAAACUUUAAACACAAGUUUUAAGUUUGAAAGAUGCAAUUGCAUCACUCAAAGAUGAUCCCGCGUUGUAUUAGCUAGUUGGUGAGGUAAAGGCUCACCAAGGCGAUGAUACAUAGCCGACCUGAGAGGGUGAUCGGCCACAUUGGGACUGAGACACGGCCCAAACUCCUACGGGAGGCAGCAGUAGGGAAUCUUCGGCAAUGGACGAAAGUCUGACCGAGCAACGCCGCGGGAGUGAAGAAGGUUUUCGGAUCGUAAAACUCUGUUGGUAGAGAAGAACGUUGGUGAGAGUGGAAAGCUCAUCAAGUGACGGUAACUACCCAGAAAGGGACGGCUAACUACGUG
rnacentral:rRNA from 1 species